CAAUGGCGUAUAUUAAAGUUGUUGCAGUUAAAAAGCUCGUAGUUGGAUUUCGGGACGGGCCAGUUGGUCCGCCGCAAGGUGUGUUACUGACUGGUCUGUUCUUCUUCGCAAAGACUGCGUGUGCUCUUCGUUGAGUGUGCGUAGGAUUUACGACGUUUACUUUGAAAAAAUUAGAGUGUUCAAAGCAGGCUAUCGCUUGAAUACAUGAGCAUGGAAUAAUGGAAUAGGACUUUGGUCCUAUUUUGUUGGUUUCUAGGACCGAAGUAAUGAUUAAGAGGGACAAUUGGGGGCAUCCGUAUUUCGUUGUCAGAGGUGAAAUUCUUGGAUUUACGAAAGACGAACAACUGCGAAAGCACUUGCCAAGAGUGUUUUCAUUAA
rnacentral:rRNA from 1 species